ensembl:lncRNA
UUUGACACCACAGCCCAAAGAAACACAGCAGCUAAAGGUCAACAUGUCCAUGGAGAUGAGGAAGUGAAAACUGGAUGCAACAGGUUUGGACUUCUACCGCCAAAGACGAUCCCACAGACCUGGCAGCGGUUGAUCUGAGGUACAUGUUGGUACGAGGACUAACUGUAAAGCUUUUUUCUUUCUGGAAAAAAACAUCUUUGACCUGCCGUCCCUGUUCAGCUGUUUGUUGUGGAGACCUUUGGAAGAACGUCAGAUUUUCCUCCUGCUGAUGUUUCUCAAGUGACCACAUGGGUGGAGCCAAGGCGGAGUCUGGGUGGAGUCGGGGUGGAGAGUAGGCGGGGAGGUGGGUGGCGGCCUCCCCCCUCUACUCCCCCACCGCCCACCACACCUUCCCCCGCCCGACGAGUUCUUCGAGUCUCCACGAGUUCUUCGAGUCUCCACGGGUUUUCCCGAGUUUCUGGAGUUUCCACCAGGUCGGAGGCAGAACAAGUUGUCAUGAAG